CCUGUAACAAGAUAGUUUCAAACGUGAUCACUCAACUUGAUGCUGCUCUCUCUCCAUCAUCCUCAUGUGGUUUGCUUCUGUUCUCCGGAAUGAAUAAAAGCACCACGUGACAUCUUGAAAAGGAUGCUCUUUGGCUCUGAGUUAAGAUAAGAACAGCAACAACGGCACUGGCUGCGGGCUUAUGCUGACCCCCACGCAGAGAACUGGACAAGAUCUUUUAGACAACUAAGGUUAGUGAACUACUCUGUUCCAAUAUUCCAAUAUUUGUGAAAAGGAAUCUAGGUAGAUACCUCAGAUGAUGAGAACAAAAAGGCUGCUUUAGAUGAAGAUACUGCAGGUUAUAUGAGCAUCUAGCUUGGUUCUCUUCACUCUGCUUGGCAGCAUCUCACUAAGAUUCUCAGGCAGAGGUUUUCUCUAUCACCUCCUUCCUGCUUUUUUUUUUAAGAAAACAAAGUGGAGAAGCCAAAAGUUGAACCUGGGACCUUCUGCAUACAAAGCAGGUGCUCUGACACUGAGGAAUAGCCCCCCUCCCCCUGAAAAUGUCUCAAAGGGCAGAUGAAAUCACUAGACCAAAAAACUUUCAGAGCAGCCUUUUGGAUGGAGCAAGCUCACUGUGUUUGAUGGGACUUAUUCCAAAGAGCAUAAGGUUGCAGCCAAAUAUUCCUUAGGAAAGAGAAGUGAAACAAUCCUGCCAUAUGAGGGGUGCAGUCCCAUGCAUGCUUUGUGUGUAUGUGUGUAUUUCAUGGAAACAGGCAAAGAAAUGAACUGGAAACAUAAAUAGAAUUCUGAAAUUUAUUUAAAGCAUAGAUAAAACUCAGAGACCAAUAGGCACAGCAGAUGUCACACAAGAAAAUAAUCUACAAAAUGCAGUAGAAAGAUAACAAAUGCUGUUGUUAUUCUUAGUGUUACUACAGGGGGAAAAAACAACCCCAAACCAAACCACCUAUAAGUUCCACAAAGCAACAGAGUGAGAUGACAGCAUUAUACUAUUCAUUUUCUUAUUAAUAUGCAUUACAAAAUCAAACCAUUCUAAUCCAAUAUUAUUCCUCAACCAUGCUUAACAUAUACAGUUUCAAAAACCUGUUCUACUAAACAUUCUAAAUAGUAAUUAUUGUUAUCAGCAGUUUACCAGCAACAUCAAGGCUAGUUCUUUAUUUUCUCUGGCUGUUGAUGUUACUUAUACUGCCACAUGCAGACAAGCAGGUAGGCUUGCAAUUUUUGUGGGGUUAUUUGUGAGACUUUAUCAAUACAUAUACUGGUUUGUGCCCAAAGCACCUAAGAAAAACCCUUCAGGCGUUUCCCCUGAGGGAAUCAUGCUUGGGGAAUCAUGGCCAAUAUUAGUUUUCUCAUAAUACAUUGGGCACAAACGACUUACAAGUUCAAAAAACAUGAUUUGUACAAUAGCAAAUGGUGUUAUACAAGGCUUCAUUGAGAAAUACAAACUUUAUUUGUUUUAAAAGUAAAGUUAAAGUGUUCAGUUUUUAUAAGCAAUAGAAACCACUACCUGCUGUGAGCCUUGCUGCAAUGUAUCUCUUAACAUUCUAUUGCAGUGGUUUUCAACUAGUAGUGUGCCUGGCACCCUGGGGUGCCUUGAAUGAUGGUGAGGGGUGCUUCAGGCAACACUGGCCUCUGUCCCUCUUUCCUUCCCUCCCUCUUCUGAUGCCCUCUCAGGUCUCUGCCUCCCAAAGGCUUACACAGCUAUUUGUUGUAGCAGCCCCGGCUACAAGCCCCACAGGUGACACAAAACAGAAACCACAAUGCAUUUCCAAACAAAACGGCACCCAAUAUACCAUUUGGCAGCAGCAGUAAUGAAUGCAAAGCGACCCUUGUUUUUGAAUAUGAAAGCUGACUCUUGAAGAAGACAGACUUGUUCCCUACAGGUACAAGGUGCUAAUAGCAAUGGAUGGGUGAGCUUACACACACACACACACACACACACACACACACACACACACUGUGUCAUCAUCCCCAUCAUCAUUCAUUUCUGUGCUGACUUUCCAUAGGAAGUCCCCCUCAUCAACGCAUCUCACAAUAGCGCAACAUUUAGACAAUUCAGUUACAAAGCACCACAACCUUUAAGUAAUAGAAAUUCAGCUCCCUAACACGUGCAGCCCAGCUCCACUUUCCUCAUAGACUUCUCUUCGGCCACUGUGAGAACAGGAUACUGGACUAGAUGAGCCAUUGGCCUCAUCCAGCAGCUUCUUCUUAUGUUCCUACCCAGAUGCACAGAUAAUAGAUAGAUGAUAGAUGAUAGAUAGAUAGAUAGAUGAUAGGUAGAUAGAUAGAUAGAUGAUAGAUAGAUAGAUAGAUAGAUAGAUAGAUAGAUAGAUAGAUAGAUAGAUAGAUAUAGAUGACAGAUGGAUAGACAGUGUGUUUGAUAAUCUUCUCCAGCAGUUGAGGGCGCUGUAUCAGCCACAGUCUCUCUGUGAAAAGGGUACAUUUCAGGUGUCACUGAGGGCUGCUCUUGGCUUCCUGGGAAGGAGAGGUGGGGGGCAGAAAGUCAGACAAAGCCCAGGAGAGAGGUUCCCCCCUCUUGGGUCAGAAGCAGCAAAAUACCUCUGAAUAACACCUGUUCAAGACAACUGCAGGUGGGGAGAGGGCUGGUGCUGUUGUGCUCCAACAGGUGUUAAAAUAGAUUUAUUAUUUUCAUUGCCAUGAUCCUACACUUUGUCGAAGGGAAACUCUCCACCAGAGUAGAAAUCAUAUAUCAAACAGAUAGAAAGCUCUUUAAUCUGAGUAGGCUGAAAGCAAAGAGUAAGGUUACCAUAACUUCCAUCAUAGAGCUUCAGUAUGCUGAUGACAACAUAGUGUGUGCACACUCAGUGGAUGACCUCCAAACUAUCCUAAAUAUCUUUGCAGAAGCUUAUGAAAAGCAUGGGCUAUCACUCAACAUCCAAAAAAAUCAAAGUGCCGCACCAACAAACACAAAACAACCCCUCUGCAGUGCCACAAAUCCAACUCAAUGGUGUUACAUUGAAAAGUGCCAAUCACUUGUACCUGGGCAGUUAUCUUUCCACAAGGGCUGACAUAGAUGCCAAAAUCCAGCAUCGCCUGAGCUCUGCGAGUGCAGCUUUCUCCUAUUAAAGUGCAGAGUGUUUGAGGACUGGGACAUUCACAGGGAAACCAAAAUGCUUGUUUACAAAGCUAUUGUACUACCAACCUUACUGUAUGCGUGUGAAACAUGGACCACUAAUAAACACCAUCUCCAGCUCCUUGAAAGAUUCCAUCAAUGAUGUCUCCCAAAAAUUUUACACUUGGAAAGACAGGUGAACUAAUACCAGUGUACUGGAAGAAGCAAAGAUCACCACUAUUGAAGCAAUGAUUCUACAACAUCAACUUCGUUGAACUGGUCAUGUUGUUCGGAUGCCUGAUUAUCGCCUCCCAAAGCAACUACUCUAUUCCGAACUUAAAAAUGGAAAUGCUGGUGGUCAACAAAAGAGGCUUAAAAACUGUCUCAAGGCAAAUCUUUAAAAAUGUAGUAUAAACACUGACAACUAGGAAACACUGGCCUGCAAAUGCUCCAAUUGGAGAACAGCCUUUACUAAAGGUGUCAUGGACUUUGAAGACUCUUGAACUCAGGACAAAAGGGAGAAAUUAGCUAAAGGAGCUAGAAGACACGUUUGGCAAACCCUCACAUGAAUCAGCUGCUGCCUGGAAACCUAUGUCCCCAUGGUGGAAGGAUGUGUGCAUCCAGAAUUGGCCUCCACAGUCACUAACGGACUCACUGUUAAGACCAUGUUCAUGGAAGACCCGGCUACGAGUGAUCGCCAAAGAAGAAGAGGAAGAAGCUCCAAUUCUGCUUGUCAGCCACUGUCAGAAAAGGAGGCUGAACUAGAUGCCCCUCCUGUGGCCUGAUCAAGCUGAUCCUUGGCUCCUUUUGUUAUAUUCUUAUGGGAGGAGGGAGGUGAAAGCUUGCGAAAGAGACACCUCCAAGGGACAGAUAGAAGACCACCUUCCUGAUGGAGAAGAAGCACUAGCUUUCUGGGGCCUUGAGAUUUGGGUCAGGAUAUAGCACAACACACCCCAGGUAAGUUAGAAAAGCAGGAGGGAGAGCCCCAAUCAAGCCCAGGCAUUCAGCCUUCCCUCCCCCCAAAAAACUCAUAACACCAUCAACAAUUUAAAGCAAUUUGGAAAGAGGGAGUAAAAGCAGGCUUUUAGUGUUUGUAUGUAGAAAGAAGGCCUUUCAAAGGCCAGCAGGAAUAAGUGGAAUUGUCAGACAUGCCAAGAUGUUAAAAGCCCCAGUUCCUUCAGUCUCAAGACUCUGAUUAAGGUGUAUUAAGUAAUCAGCAGGCACAAACCACAAAGGAUGAGAAAGAGCCAUUAUGUUACUUGCAAGCAUAGCUCCUCGAAUGUCUCUCUCCCCUCCACCCACAAUCUCUUAGGUCAUCUCAAAACAGCAGCAUUUGUACCUCCUCUCCUAGACUCUGUGGUUUUUUAAAGCAGAAUUAAGUGAGAUCUUCAAACCAGGGAAGGAAUUCAACAUCCCCUUGUUUGUGCAAGCAUUUAAUCUUGCCAGGCAGAAUGAUUAUCUCUCUCCUUCCUCUGUACAUUGUGCUGGCGCGGGGGAGGUUUCCCUGAGCCACACAGGGCCAAUUGUGUAAUGGGGUGGGGGGGAGAGGAGGGGAAACCCCAUUUGUUCAGGAGGAAGUUCUUGAGCAGGCUUUAAUUUAUGGAGUAGAUUAGGUGAAUCCUGCCCAGUGCUGCAGUGAGGAAGGCCUGCCAACCAUGCACCCUUAUCAGAAUACUCCAAUCCAUUACCUUCCCUCUAGUUUUUUAGUUUCCCCCUUUACAUCAGUCAGCAUUCCAUGCUCAUUGAGCUGUUGUUACCCCUUUAGCACCCAUACAUACAUACAUACAUACAUAUGUACUUCGGCAAGCCUUGUGGUUUUCCCAUCCCUAUUGAUACCUGCUCUUGUGUAAAGAUGGCUACAUAUGCAUCCACACUCAGAGAGCAAGUUUACUAUUAGUAGGUAAAAAGUGUAGACAACAACCUGUGCACAAUGAUGUUGGACUGCAAAUAUCAUUACCUCUGACCGUUGGCCAUGCUAGCUAGGGCUUUAAAAGGGGAUUACGAAAGUUAAUGGGGGGUAUUAAUGAUGUCAAGAAAGAUAUCAAGGGCUAUAUCACGAUGGCUAUACAGUAUACCCUCCAGUAUGAGAGCCACAGCACCACUGAAUUCCAAUUGCUGGGAAUAACAAAUGGGGAGGGAGCUGUUUUUAAUGGGCAGUCAGGCCCAUUUCUUAUGGCUGUAAAAGUGAAUCAAACAGUCCAGUUUCCUCAAGAACCCCAAACCCUUAUCGAAGAUGCCCAUUUCUCCUCCCCCUGCCAAAGACACGCCUCACAGACUCCACAACUACUGUCCCCAGAAUUUUCACAAAUGUUUCUAAUAUUUAAGGAGGCCCCUUUCCUGGAAAGUCAUGUUAUGAAGAUGUUAUAGAAUUAUAGAACUGUAGAUUUGGAAGGUGUGGGAAUUAAACUCUAGUUUCCAUUUAAAGAGUUAUGUGGAAGAGAGCCCUAGUCAUUUAACUCUUUAAUUAGUUCCCUUUUACCUCUAUAAGAACAAUGUAAUUCACUCUCUUUUAAAGUUAAAAUAAUGUGACUUUUACUUAGUGUGCUUGCGAUUUGCAAGUAAAAAUAUACAAUUCAGGUUGGUGUUACUGUCCCAACCUCCUGCCAACCUAGCAGUUGGAAAGCAUAGCUGUGCAAGUAGAUAAAUAGGUACUGCUGUGGGAGGAAGCAGUGGCGUAGCAUGGGUUGUCAGCACCCGGGGCAAGGCAAGUAAUUUGCGCCCCCUAACCCUGAGUGAGCCAGGUAGGGGCAGAGAGCUGCUAGUGCGAGCGCGCCCCCCCCCAGAUGUUGCGCCCGGUGUGGCUGGCCCCCCUGCACCCCCCACGCUACGCCACUGGGAGGAAGGUAAAUGAUGUUUCUAUGCACUUUGGCUUCUGUCACAGUGUCCUGCAAGAAGCUGUUUAGUCAUGCUGGCCACAUGACCCAGAAAGCUGUCUGUGGACAAACGCUGGUUCCCUCGGCCUGAAAGUGGAGAUGAGUGCCACACCCCAUAGUCAAAUUCGACUGGACUUAACCAUCCAGGGGUCCUUUACCUUACGUUGCUAAUACAUCUUACAUAGAUUCGUACCUAAGACAAAACUGCUACAGACUAGUACUCUGAGGCAGACAGCAGCAGCACAACGAAACAUAGCUGCUGCUCUAACUGUUAAGACUGAUCAUAACUGCCACUGAUGUACCAACUGUAAUAACUGCCUCAGAUGGGAAACAUCACAGAGCUCUUGUGAGCAUUAACCAUUUACUUGGGUGCUUUCAUCCCACAGAAGGGACCCUGAUAAUCAUCUAGUCCAACCCACUGCAAUGCAGGAAUAUGCAGAUGCCCCUUACGGGGCUGGUUGUUGUGAGUUUGGCAGGCUGAUCUGUAUGUUGCCUGAGUCCCUUCUAAUUUCUGAGGUCCUGGCUCCAGCAAUCUCAUGGAGCAUUCCAUUACUGAAAUAGCUGGGCAUCUUUCUUGGUGAAUUAAUGGCCCUAAGUACUUAGUAUAACAAAAGAGGUUGCUCUGUGCCAGAGGGCAAAUGGGUGGACCCUCACCUGGCUGGUGGUGAGAAACACAAAAGGAGAGAGGUGUUGUGUGAGCUGGAAGCAGGAAGCAGCUAGAGAGAAAGCAACAAGAUUCCAAGGCUGUGUCUAUGGGAGAAGCAAGACCCUUUUGAAAUACUUUAUUGUCACUUGUACAACUUGUAUACAGUGAGAUUACACAAAUGUGCGCUUCUCUCCAUCAGGGAAUCAAACCCCGGUCUCCCACGUGACACGCGGGGAUACUUACCACUAUACUAACGAGGACUUUUGUGGUGCUGAUGCUGUGAGCCCCUCCAUUAUAGGCUCAGGUUGUAUAUAUGUGUCAAUAAACAAUAUACAGUCAUACCUUGGUUGACGAUCGCCUUGCGAGUUGAACAUUUUGGCUCCCGAACGCUGCAAACCUGGAAGAGAGUGUUCCGGUUUGCAAAUGUUCUUUGGAACCCGAACGCCCAGCACAACUUCCAAUUGGCUGCAGGAGCUUCCUCUAGCCAAACGGAACUGCACCUUGAUUUCUGAACAUUUUGGAAGUCAAAUGGACUUUUGGAACAGAUUCUGUUUGGCUUCCAAGAUACGACUGUAUCCUAAAGACACCACAGUCUCUGCUGUCCCGCAUGCUAAGGAAACUGAACCCUAGGUAAGCACCUGGAACCCCUGGAAUCUCUCACCUCUCAGAGAUUGGGGUGAUGUGUGAUGGUAUCAUAAGGGCAGCGAUGCUACAAAUAUCCAGUAGGACAUUCUUAACUGGGACCUUACUGGGGCAAAACUACAUGGAAUGUUUGUGCCUGAAGGUAUCAUCAGGUAUUGUAGUAGAUAUUAUUGAAUAUUUAGAAAGUAGAAUUGAUAAACAAGCGGCUUUGAUUUUCAUUGACGCGGAGAAAGCGUUUGAUAAUGUCUCCUGGAGAUUUAUGAAAGAGAAUUUUAAAACAAUGGGAAUUGGAGAAGGGUUUAUAAAGGGUAUAGAAGCCAUAUAUCAAAAUCAAACAGCCAAACUCAUCAUAAACAACAACGUAUCAGAAACUUUUGAUAUCUCUAAGGGGACCAGACAGGGGGGUCCUCUAUCACCCCUGUUGUUUAUAUCUGUACUGGAGGUUCUUAAUAAGACAUUGAGAGAAGCCUCAAAGGUGAAAGGUAUCAAGGUUGGAUACAAAGAAUUUAAAAUAAAAGCAUUUGCGGACGAUAUAGUCUUAACCCUAGAAGAUCCAAAGAGAAGUAUACAAGAAGCUUUACAAAUAAUAGAAGAAUUCAGCAAAGUAGCAGGGUUCAAACUCAAUAAGAACAAAACUAAAAUGUUAGUCAAAAACAUAAGUAAAGAAGAGAUAGAAGAACUGCAACAAGAGAGUGGUAUUAUAGUGGUCAAGAAAGUCAAAUAUCUAGGAAUAUGGUUGAUGGCAAAAACAUAAACCUGUAUAAAGACAACUAUGAAAUCACUUGGAGAGAUAUUAAGAAAGAUCUAGAAAUAUGGGACAGACUGAGACUAUCUUUUUUAGGGAGAAUAUCAGUGAUUAAAAUAAAUGUUUUACCUGGAAUUUUAUUCUUGUUCCAAACAAUUCCAGUGAUUAAAGGAUCAAAACAAUUUAAAGAGUGGCAGAAAACAUUGGCAAGAUUUGUCUGGCAGGGAAAGAGGCCAAGAAUAAAAAUGAAGAUUCUGGUUGACAAAAAAGAAAGAGGUGGCUUCGCCCUGCCAGACAUGGGUAUAUACUAUGAAGCAGCGUGCCUAAUUUGGAUAAGAGAAUGGAUAAAAUUAGAAAAUAUGGACCUUCUAGAUUUAGAAGGAUAUGACAACAGGUACGGGUGGCACUUGUACCUGUGGUAUGAUAAAGUGAAAGUCCACAGGGUUUUUUUUAAAUCAUAUAAUUAGAGGACCUUUAUAUGAAGUAUGGGAAAGAAAUAAAAAUCUGUUAGAAAGGAAAACACCUUGGUGGAUAUCACCAACAGAUGUAUUAAUUAUUAAGAAAGUCAACAUGGAAGGAAAGAGAGCCACAUAUGAAGAGCUUAUUAGAAAAACUGAUCAAGGUAUAAAGCUUAAGGUGUAUGAAGAAGUAGAGAAUUUACUGACAGUGUGGUUACAGUACCACCAAGUUAGUGAGAUACUAAAAGAAGAUAAAAAGAGGUUGGGAUUUGAGGACAAGAAAUCAAAAUUUCAUAUAGACAUUAUAGAAGGUAAAAAUAAACCACUGUCAAAAAUGUAUGAUUUAUUAUUGAACUGGUAUACUAAAGAUGAGGAGGUAAAAGAAGCCAUGAUUAAGUGGGCCAUUGAUUUUGGGCAUAACAUUGAAUUAGAAGCAUGGCAUGAAUUGUGGAAUGUAAAUUUGAAAUUUAUGGCCUGUACGGCAUUGCAAGAGAAUAUAUGGAAAAUGAUAUAUAGGUGGCAUCUUACGCCGGUAAAAGUGGCAAAGAUGUACAGAAUGAAAAAUAAGAAAUGUUGGAAAUGUGGAGAGGCGGAAGGAGACCUCUACCACACAUAGUGGAAUUGUGGUAAAGUGAAGGGCUUUUGGGAAUCAAUUUACAAUGAACUUUAAAAAGUUUUUAAGUAUACCUUUCCAAAAAACCCGAAGCCUUUCUAUUGGGAUUGGUAGGGAAGGAAAUUAAAAAGAAAGAUAAAACCCUCUUUCUGUAUGUCACGACGGCUGCAAGAACUAUGUUGGCUCAGAAUUGGAAAACAGAUGUAAUACCAACUGUUAUGGAUUGGCAGGUUAAAAUGAUGAAUUACGCAGAACUGGCUAGAUUAUCAGGGAGAAUACGAGAUCAGGACGAACAGAAGUUUGAUGAAACUUGGAGUAAAUAUUUGCUGUAUAUAAGAGAUAACUGUAAAACCUUAAAGACACUGGCAGGGUUAGAUUAACUCUAACAGCAUAUGGUUAACCAGAUAAACAAACAAAAUACGUGAUGUAAGAAAAUGUACGAUACUUACUGAAGGGGUGGAGGGAAGUCUGAAGCUCGGCAGAGCCAAAGAU
rnacentral:lncRNA from 1 species